UUGUGAUAUCAGCUUCUCAGAUCCAGACGACCUCCUCAACUUCAAGCUGGUCAUCUGUCCUGAUGAGGUGAGGGUGCAUAUGGCUGAAUUCCCAGGAGCAAACCAAGGGUGUCCCCACUGAGAGGAGGGAGACAUGUUCUGCCCAUCGGGCCCCACAGGAUGGAACCCUAAAAUUUUCUUCUCCCCCCUCCCAGGGCUUCUACAAGAGUGGGAAGUUUGUGUUCAGUUUUAAGGUGGGCCAGGGUUACCCGCAUGAUCCCCCCAAGGUGAAGUGUGAGACAAUGGUCUAUCACCCCAACAUUGACCUCGAGGGCAACGUCUGCCUCAACAUCCUCAGGUGAGGGCACUGGCCCUCUACUGCCCUCCCCAGCCCUGCCUGCCAGGCCUCCCUCAUGGUCUUGUGGGCACUACAUCAGACUCUGUCCCUUCCCACCCCUUUGUU
rnacentral:sRNA from 1 species